rnacentral:rRNA from 1 species
UCGGGUGAAGGAACUAGGCAAAAUGGUGCCGUAACUUCGGGAGAAGGCACGCUGGCGCGUAGGUGGAGGGACUUGCUCCCCGAGCCGAAGCCAGUCGAAGAUACCAGCUGGCUGCAACUGUUUAUUAAAAACACAGCACUGUGCAAACACGAAAGUGGACGUAUACGGUGUGACGCCUGCCCGGUGCCGGAAGGUUAAUUGAUGGGGUUAUCCGCAAGGAGAAGCUCUUGAUCGAAGCCCC